rnacentral:rRNA from 1 species
AGAGUUUGAUCCUGGCUCAGAAUCAACGCUGGCGGCGUGCCUAACACAUGCAAGUCGAACGAGAAAGAGGGAGCAAUCCCUUGAGUACAGUGGCGUACGGGUGAGUAACACGUGACUAACCUACCUUCGAGUGGGGAAUAACUUCGGGAAACCGAGGCUAAGACCGCAUAACAUCUUUGGGUGAAAUUCCCGUUGAUCAAAUGCGCAAGCAGCUUGAAGAGGGGGUCGCGGUUGAUUAGCUAGUUGGUGAGGUAAUGGCUCACCAAGGCAAUGAUCAAUAGCCGGCCUGAGAGGGCGCACGGCCACACUGGAACUGAAACACGGUCCAGACUCCUACGGGAGGCAGCAGUGGGGAAUUUUGCGCAAUGGGGGAAACCCUGACGCAGCAACGCCGCGUGGAGGAUGAAGUCCCUUGGGACGUAAACUCCUUUCGAUCGGGACGAUAAUGACGGUACCGGAAGAAGAAGCCCCGGCUAACUUCGUGCCAGCCGCCGCGGUAAUUC